rnacentral:rRNA from 1 species
UCCUACGGGAGGCAGCAGUGGGGAAUAUUGGACAAUGGGCGAAAGCCUGAUCCAGCCAUGCCGCGUGUGUGAAGAAGGUCUUCGGAUUGUAAAGCACUUUAAGUUGGGAGGAAGGGCCGUUACCUAAUACGUGAUGGUUUUGACGUUACCGACAGAAUAAGCACCGGCUAACUCUGUGCCAGCACCCGCGGUAAUA